AAUACAGCGGGAUAUAUUAAAACACAAUGAAAAAAAGAUAGUGAAUACAAUGAAUACAUGGAAUACAUCAAGAUACAUUGAAUUACAAUGACAAAAAGGCAAUAAAUAUAAUGAAAUACAUGAAAAUACAGCGUGAUACGUUGAAAAUACAUUGAAAUAUAUUAAUAGAAAAUUAAGUUGCUCAACCCAAACUCCUUUGUCUUUAUUCAAGAAUAACUCUAAUUUCCGGAAAAUCCGUCGUCGAACAAAAAUCAUGAAUCUCAUUAUUCCCACACAUCAAAAUUGCAAAUUCAACAUCAAAAUUACAGGCCUUAUGUCUCUCUAUCUCUAAUCAUCCUUUGUUAGCAGUAACUACAGAAGUCAAUCAUAUCUUCAACUCUGUACUCCAAAUCUUCCUUUUCGUCAUCAUCCAUCUAAAAAACCCCAAAUCACCAAAGCAAACAACAGGAAAAAAAUCAUCAUUAGUAGUAGAAGGAGCAAGAUCCCCUGUUAUACGGUUGAAUUGGACUCGAAAGAAGGAAGAAAUAAAUGGAGUGGAAUUCACAAACUACUAGUUUUUGGGUAUCUAAGUUGGCAAAUAAAACGUGAACUUCGACAGGAAAUGAGAAAGAGUCAAG
rnacentral:lncRNA from 1 species